rnacentral:misc_RNA from 1 species
GAUGAAGAACGCAGCGAAAUGCGAUACGUAAUGUGAAUUGCAGAAUUCAGUGAAUCAUCGAAUCUUUGAACGCAUAUUGCGCUCUCUGGUAUUCCGGAGAGCAUGCUUGUUUUAGUAUCAGUAAACACCUCAACUCCCUUUUCUUUUUUGAAAUUGGAGCUGGACUUGAGUGAUCCCAACGCUUUCUUCCAAGAAAGUGGCGGGUUGCUUGAAAUGCAGGUGCAGCUGAACUUUUCUCUGAGCUAUAAGCAUAUCUAUUUAGUCUGCCUAAAAAACAGAUUAUUACCUUUGCUGCAGCUAACAUAAAGGAGACUAGUUCUUGUGCUGACUGAUGCAGGAUUCACAGAGACAGCUUCGGCUGACUUUGUAAACUCGAUCUCAAAUCAAGUAAGACUACCCGCUGAACUUAAGCAUAUCAAUAAGCGGAGGA